rnacentral:rRNA from 1 species
UGGGGAAUAUUGCACAAUGGAGGGAACUCUGAUGCAGCGACGCCGCGUGAACGAAGAAGGCUUUCGAGUCGUAAAGUUCUUUUAUAUGGGAAGAUAAUGACGGUACCAUAAGAAAAAGCCCCGGCUAACUACGUGCCAGCAGCCGCGGUAAUACGUAGGGGGCUAGCGUUGUCCGGAAUCACUGGGCGUAAAGGGUUCGCAGGCGGAAAUGCGAGUCAGAUGUAAAAGGCAGUAGCUUAACUACUGUAAGCAUUUGAAACUGCAUAUCUUGAGAAGAGUAGAGGUAAGUGGAAUUUUUAGUGUAGCGGUGAAAUUCGUAGAUAUUAAAAAGAAUACCGGUGGCGAAGGCGACUUACUGGGCUCAUUCUGACGCUGAGGAACGAAAGCGUGGGUAGCAAACAGG